rnacentral:rRNA from 1 species
AUUGAACGCUGGCGGCAUGCUUUACACAUGCAAGUCGAACGGUAACAGGUUAAGCUGACGAGUGGCGAACGGGUGAGUAAUGCAUCGGAACGUGCCCGAUCGUGGGGGAUAACGCAGCGAAAGCUGCGCUAAUACCGCAUACGAUCUGAGGAUGAAAGCGGGGGACCGUAAGGCCUCGCGCGAUCGGAGCGGCCGAUGUCAGAUUAGGUAGUUGGUGGGGUAAAGGCUCAACAAGCCAACGAUCUGUAGCUGGUCUGAGAGGACGACCAGCCACACUGGGACUGAGACACGGCCCAGACUCCUACGGGAGGCAGCAGUGGGGAAUUUUGGACAAUGGGCGAAAGCCUGAUCCAGCAAUGCCGCGUGCAGAAAGAAGGCCUUCGGGUUGUAAACUGCUUUUGUACGGAGCGAAAAGGCCCUCUCUAAUACAGGGGGUUUAUGACGGUACCGUAAGAAUAAGCACCGGCUAACUACGUGCCAGCCGCCGCCGUAA